rnacentral:rRNA from 1 species
ACGAAGGGUGCGAGCGUUGUUCGGAAUUACUGGGCGUAAAGCGCACGUAGGCGGAUUCGUAAGUUAGAUGUGAAAGCCCCAGGCUUAACCUGGGAAUUGCAUUUAAAACUGCGAACCUUGAAUGCUUGAGAGGAUGACGGAAUUCCUGGUGUAGAAGUGAAAUUCGUAGAUAUCAGGAGGAACACCGGAGGCGAAGGCGGUUGUCUGGCGAUGCAUUGACGCUGAGGUGCGAAAGCGCGGGGAGCAAACAGGA